ensembl:misc_RNA 7SK 7SK RNA
GGAUGUGAGGGCGAUCUGGCUGCGACAUCUGUCACCCCAUUGAUCGCCAGGGUUGAUUCCGCUGAUCUGGCUGGCUAGGCGGGUGUCCCCCUCCUCCCUCACCGAUCCAUGUGCGUCCCUCCCGAAGCUGCGCGCUCGGUCGAAGAGGACGACCUUCCCCCCCGAGGAGAGGACCCGUCUUCGGUCAAGGGUAUACGAGUAGCUGCGCUCCCCUGCUAGAACCUCCAAACAAGCUCUCCUUAUUUUUUUUAAAGAUUCUUAGAGAUUUUUAGAGAGAGUGGAAGUGAGAGGAAGAGAGAAAGAAAUAUCGAUGUGAGAGGGAAACACUGACCUGCUGCCU